CCGGCGACCGGCGCACGGGUGAGUAACACGUAUGCGACCUGCCCCCCGCAGGUGGAUAACCGGGAGAAAUCCCGACUAAUACCGCGUAACGCCGCGGACCUGCAUGGGUCUGCGGCCAAAGGAAGCGAUUCCGGCGGGGGAUGGGCAUGCGGCGCAUUAGCUAGUCGGCGGGGUAACGGCCCACCGAGGCGACGAUGCGUAGGGGUUCUGAGAGGAAGGUCCCCCACACUGGUACUGAGACACGGACCAGACUCCUACGGGAGGCAGCAG
rnacentral:rRNA from 1 species